UACAGGGGGGGCAAGCGUUGUUCGGAAUUACUGGGCGUAAAGGGUCUGUAGGUGGCCAACUAAGUCAGACGUGAAAUCCCUCAGCUUAACUGGGGAACUGCGUCUGAUACUGGAUGGCUUGAGUGCAGGAGAGGAAUGCGGAAUUCCAGGUGUAGCGGUGAAAUGCGUAGAUAUCUGGAGGAACACCGGUGGCGAAGGCGGCAUUCUGGACUGUAACUGACGCUGUGGCGCGAAAGCUAGGGGAGCGAACGGG
rnacentral:rRNA from 1 species